rnacentral:tRNA from 5 species
GUCCCUAUCGUCUAGAGGCCUAGGACAUCGCCCUUUCACGGCGGUAACAGGGGUUCGAAUCCCCUUAGGGACGCCA